GGUCGCCCACAGGCGCGGCGGGGCUCCGGGCCCCGAGACCGAAGCCGGAACCCCAGGUUCUCCGCGCCAGGGCCCGGGGCCGCCACGUGCGUCUUCUCUCUCCCGCCGCCUGAGCCGCCGCACCACCCUGGCCCUCAAAGACUUUUCUGAGGCAAAACCCACAUUCUGUUCUCGGGGUCCUGUUCUCUUUCAAAAUGCCUUACAGGGUUUGCUCGUUCCUGGCUGGUGAAGAGCUGUGAACCGAAACUUCUGGGGGGCAGGGACCGGGACUGGAAGCCGCUAGAGCGGGAGGCACGGCUCUCAGCAUGCCAGGGAAUUCUCGCGAGGACUCGCUAAGCGAUGUCAAAGAAAACGCUUCCUAAAGGCAAGGCACGGUUCAAACGUACGGCUUUUACCUUGUCAUCCUUUACACCAGUGCUGUCCAGUGGAAAUAUAACGCGAUCCACAUAGCCUUUUUGAGUUUUUUUUUCUUAAUUGGAACCCAAAACUGGACAAUUCUUCUCAACAUGGCCAAACCAGCUUAUUUUCUACAUGCUACAUUUCCAUAGAGGUGAUCUCGGCAACCUGGGCCACCUUUUCUGCCUCUGUACGAAUGAAGUUGGGAAAAACUUGGAGCCCUGGUCUUUCAGAAGUUUGGCUAAUUGCACCUGAUCUGACUGCCCCGGCACACAGAGUGGGUGAGCACAGCUGGACAGCCCCUGCUCCCAGAGGGCAGCUGGGACGGACACACACGGGCAGAAAUGGGAUGUGCCGGUGAGCACAGUCCCACACCGUCAGCAUGAGACAGUGACUGAGAAGACCUGGGCCCAGGGGAGGACAAAUGAGCCCUGACUUCUCUCCUAAAUCACAGGGUACUUCUCCAUAAGGAAUGUUCUGAAGAAUAAGGUAUUCUCUGAUGAGUUUCCACAUGGCAUUGCAUUUUAGAUAGUCAGGUUAGUUGUUGAUAAUACAGUGCAGCGAUCAAGAGUACAAGUUCUCGAGCCAGAGUCCCUGGAUGUGAACCCCAGUUCUGCCACUUACUUGCUUGGACACGUUAUUUUACUUCCCUGUGCUUCAGUUCAAUAAAACGAGG